UGGGGAAUUUUGGACAAUGGGCGAAAGCCUGAUCCAGCAAUGCCGCGUGUGUGAAGAAGGCCUUCGGGUUGUAAAGCACUUUUGUCCGGAAAGAAAUCCUCUGGGUUAAUACCUCGGGGGGAUGACGGUACCGGAAGAAUAAGCACCGGCUAACUACGUGCCAGCAGCCGCGAUAAUACGUAGGGUGCAAGCGUUAAUCGGAAUUACUGGGCGUAAAGCGUGCGCAGGCGGUUUUGUAAGACGGAUGUGAAAUCCCCGGGCUUAACCUGGGAACUGCAUUCGUGACUGCAAGGCUAGAGUAUGGCAGAGGGGGGUAGAAUUCCACGUGUAGCAGUGAAAUGCGUAGAGAUGUGGAGGAAUACCGAUGGCGAAGGCAGCCCCCUGGGCCAAUACUGACGCUCAUGCACGAAAGCGUGGGGAGCAAACAGGAUUAGAUACCCUGGUAGUCCACGCCCUAAAACGAUGUCAACUAGUUGUUGGGGAUUCAUUUCCUUAGUAACGUAGCUAACGCGUGAAGUUGACCGCCUGGGGAGUACGGUCGCAAGAUUAAAACUCAAAUGAAUUGACGGGGUCAUAGCUGUUUCC
rnacentral:rRNA from 1 species